rnacentral:rRNA from 1 species
UAGGGAAUAUUGGACAAUGGGGGCAACCCUGAUCCAGCCAUGCCGCGUGAGUGAAGAAGGCCCUCGGGUUGCAAAGCUCUUUUGUCCGGAAAGAAAAGCAUUCGGUGAAUACCCGGAUGUUCUGACGGUACCGGAAGAAUAAGCACCGGCUAACUUCGUGCCAGCAGCCGCGGUAAUACGAAGGGUGCAAGCGUUACUCGGAAUUACUGGGCGUAAAGCGUGCGUAGGUGGUUGUUUAAGUCUGAUGUGAAAGCCCUGGGCUCAACCUGGGGAUGGCAUUGGAAACUGGGCAGCUAGAGUGCGGUAGAGGGUAGUGGAAUUCCCGGUGUAGCAGUGAAAUGCGUAGAGAUCGGGAGGAACAUCUGUGGCGAAGGCGACUGCCUGGACCAGCACUGACACUGAGGCACGAAAGCGUGGGGAGCAAACA